AUCUGUGUAUGCUAACCCUUUAAUGACCCUUGUAUCAUAUAUGAUUCAUACCCAUCAAAGGCGUAGACUUACCUCAGGUUAUUAUUUAUUUAU